GGGUCAGUAGGUUGGUCGUGCCACCGGUACGUACUGGUCUCACUGAUUCCUCCUUCCUGAAGAACCGUAAUGCCAUUAAUUUGGUGUUGCGGGAAACGGGACUGUUACUUUGAAAAAAUUAGUGUGUUUAAAGCAAGCUAACGCUUGAAUACAUUAGCAUGGAAUAAUGAAAUAGGACGAUCGAUCCUAUUUUGUUGGUUUCUAGGAUUGACGUA
rnacentral:rRNA from 1 species